CCCUACUCCCUCCCAACCCUUACCAUCACACCUUACCUUGCAAAGCCAUUCCUCCAUCAUCAAAGUUACUACAACAAAUCUCCCAUUUCCAUUCAAUACGAAAUAUUCCAUAAUUAUCAAAUUUUAUCUUUCAAGAAGGAGUUCAAAUCAGACAUACCAAUAAUCCACCAUUUCAACUCUCUACAAGGCUCGCUACAACAAAUCGUUCGAGGUUCUCUUAUGGCCUAACACGUUAUCUGAGAAUUGUGUACACUCGUUAGCUGACAUGGUGGGUUGAUCUUCAUCGGGCACUAACUAAGAGGCGUUAUAAGGGUGCUUGCUGGAUGUGUUUCGAAGCAUGUAAUGUAAGGUGUGCCUGGGUAGCGUUCCGAGGUCGAUUCAACUUGUCUGAGUUAUGUCAUCAUAAAACCUUCUAAGUUAUGUCAAUUAUGAUUGGAUAAACUGUCUUUACGUAAAUAUGAAAUGUUUCAGAAAAUGCUUGCCCACUGAGUACAUUAGUACUUAGCCCAAAAAUACUUUCAAAUGUUUUCAGGUUGGCUGGCUAGUGCUGACGGGACUGAGCUGAGGUUAGGGUUCAACUUCCUUUUAAGACUUCCGCUGUAGCAGUAUAUAAUAUCUUGUCUUUUGUGUUUUCUUAACUUAAGACUUUCAUGUUAGAUUUAGAAUGACAUCUCUGAUUGAGCUUAAACACUUAACUCCUAGUUUUAUGCUAAUGAAUACUGGUUAUCAGAAGCAUGAAACAAAACUUGUGAUCCAAAGGGGCCUAGCCCGACCUGUUACCUUAUAUUCGGUUUCAACAAGGAUUUUUCCUUGUGUUAUUUCCAUGAAUUGGUUGCA